CAAGAGUGAACCACCUGAUCCCUUCCCGAACUCAGAAGUGAAACCUCUUAGCGCUGAUGGUAGUGUGGGGUUACCCAUGUGAGAGUAAGUCAUCGUCAGCU
rnacentral:rRNA from 1 species